AUCCCAUCCCCACCUGCAAAGCUACCACACUCACACAAUACUUCAUUUAAUUCUCACAAGUAUAGGAGUUUAUGCAUUUAAAAUUAGGUUUGCCAAACUGCCAAGAGUAUAUGGCACAACAAGUACACAAGCCUUGCUGAUCAGUGAAGAGGAGAUCGUGUUUCCUUUCAUCCUCCACAGCACACAGCACUUCUGCUCCAAAGUGAAUCUUGGGAAGAGCCAUCACCUCCUAAUAUGAAUGAAAGGACUUCCCCGGGACCAUGC